CACGUAGGGGGCAAGCGUUGUCCGGAAUUAUUGGGCGUAAAGAGCUCGUAGGCGGCUCGGUAAGUCAGGUGUCAAAUCCUCAGGCUCAACCUGGGGCUCCACCUGAUACUGCUGUGGCUAGAGUCCGGUAGGGGAGCGUGGAAUUCCUGGUGUAGCGGUGAAAUGCGCAGAUAUCAGGAGGAACACCGGUGGCGAAGGCGGUUCUCUGGGCCUUACCUGACGCUGAGGAGCGAAAGCGUGGGGAGCGAACAGG
rnacentral:rRNA from 1 species